rnacentral:lncRNA from 1 species
GCCCUCGUUGGCUUUUGCAAGAGUAAGGAAUAGUGUUGUUCCGUCGUCACUUUUCUUGGCACAGCAAAGCAUAAUGUCUGGGGGCAUUGAAGCUCUACAGUUAAAGGAAGAAGAUGUUUUAAAGCUACUUGCUGCUGGAGUUCAUCUUGGUGCUAGCAAUGUAGACUUUCAAAUGGAAAGUUAUGUUUACAAAAGAAAACCCGAUGGUGUUCACAUCAUCAAUNUU